rfam:Plasmodium falciparum 3D7 chromosome 8
UAAUCUUAACGAUGGAUGUCUUGGUUCCUACAGCGAUGAAGGCCGCAAUUAAAUGCGAUAUUCUGUAUGUAUUAUAUACAACAUUUGAAUAAAGGCUGAAUGUAGAAUUAAAAUACUGUAUAAUUUUUUUUACGAAAGAAAUGCUUAUGACAGUACUC